rnacentral:misc_RNA from 1 species
AGAGACUGGCAAUGGAAAGUUGUCGAACAGUUUGUCUUUCAUAUUUUGCGUAUAGUAUUGAAUGCAACGACUAAGAUUAUUUAUUUUGAGCAAGAGUGUGUAAAACAACUGUGUGUAAUUUUUUUUUUUCAACGAGAUGCUGUGUGCAAUAUUAAAAGGUGUGGAUGUUGGAUUAAUAUGUUUCAAAUUAUGUGUUUUUUUUUAUACACGAGAAUGUUGCAAGUGGAACAAAUUUGUCAAUGAAAUGAAAAUAAACCAGAAAUGUUGAAAUU